AUUGAACGCUGGCGGCAGGCCUAACACAUGCAAGUUGAGCGAGCGGCGGACGGGUGAGUAAUGUAUGGGGACUGCCCGAUAGAGGUGGAUAACUACUGGAAACGGUAGCUAAUACCGCAUACUAUCGGAUAACCCAUAUGGGAUUAGCUAGUAGGUGUGGUAAUGGCUCACCUAGGCGACGAUCCCUAGCUGGUCUGAGAGGAUGAUCAGGCCCACUGGAGCUGUGACUCGGCGCAGACUCGUACGGAAGCGGCAAUGGGGAAGAUGGCACAAUGGCCGAAGACCAGAAGCAGCCAUGGCGCGUGUGUGAAGAGGGAACAAAGUUUGUAGAAUACUUUCGGUCGGGAGAGGUUACCGUUAGAAGAUGCACCGGCUGACUCCGUGCCAGCAGCCGCGGUAAUUC
rnacentral:rRNA from 1 species